CAAGUGAAAUACAGCCAGGCUUCCCGGGGCCGGGAGUCCGGCAGAGCCCGUCGGGCACGACGGGCCGGUGAGAGCCGCUGGCACGGGCAGAGGGUGCUCUGAGCCACUGCAGGAAAGGAUGAGUCACUGCUCCAGCUCCGCCGGGAUAACAGCACAGGAAGCACAGUGCGUGCGUGGGCUUGGACAGUGGGUGCCUGGGGCAGCACUGCUCUCCUGGCAGCCUCGGGAACCUUGUGAAGAGGCUUUCACACAGUUUCCUCACACAAACAGUUAAUCAUGGCCAUCAGCACCAGUCAUCCCACAGCACGAGUGUUUCCCAGCAAAGGCACUGCUGGGCUUGGCUAUGGCCAGAGACAGCCUUGAGGAGACAUCACAGGUGCCCUCAGAGCAGGGUUUGCUGCUGCCAAUCAGAGAAAACUGAGGCUUUGCUCCUACCAACCACUGAUGCCCAAAUCUCUGCUGCCAGAGUGGGUGCCUGACUGUACCCACAGUCCACGUGUUCCCACAGGAGGUGAGAUGUCCUGUGGUGGGGAGUUGAGAGCAGCUUGGCUUCCAAGCUCUGUGCUCACUGGCCCCUUCCAGCAGCACUCCCAGG